rnacentral:rRNA from 1 species
GAAAACCGACACAGGUAGAUGAGGAGAGAAUCCUAAGGUGAGCGAGAGAACUCUCGUUAAGGAACUCGGCAAAAUGACCCCGUAACUUCGGGAGAAGGGGUGCUCUAUUAGGGUGCAAGCCCGAGAGGGCCGCAGUGAAUAGGCCCAGGCGACUGUUUAGCAAAAACACAGGUCUCUGCAAAACCGUAAGGUGACGUAUAGGGGCUGACGCCUGCCCGGUGCUGGAAGGUUAAGAGGAGUGCUUAGCUUCGGCGA